AGCAGUUGGGAAUCUUCCGCAAUGGACGAAAGUCUGACGGAGCAACGCCGCGUGAGUGAUGAAGGUUUCCGGAUUGUAAAACUCUGUUGUCAGGGAAGAACAAGUACCGGAGUAACUGCCGGUACCUUGACGGUACCUGACCAGAAAGCCACGGCUAACUACGUGCCAGCAGCCGCGGUAAUACGUAGGUGGCAAGCGUUGUCCGGAAUUAUUGGGCGUAAAGCGCGCGCAGGCGGUUCCUUAAGUCUGAUGUGAAAGCCCCCGGCUCAACCGGGGAGGGUCAUUGGAAACUGGGGAACUUGAGUGCAGAAGAGAAGAGUGGAAUUCCACGUGUAGCGGUGAAAUGCGUAGAGAUGUGGAGGAACACCAGUGGCGAAGGCGACUCUUUGGUCUGUAACUGACGCUGAGGCGCGAAAGCGUGGGGAGCAAACAGGAUUAGAUACCCUAGUAGUCC
rnacentral:rRNA from 1 species